AUGCACACACUUUUCCGACUCAAAAUCCCUGGACCCAGUAGAGUCUGGAGAAUAUUUUGUGGCCUAUUGAUCAGUAAGAUGUGGGCCUCAGAACAGCACGUUCAGCCGGAACAGACUUUUUUUUACUGGCCUGAGGAUUAUGAUGACGGGUACGGGGCCCAACAAAUAAAUGGCCAGUACAUUGCCCAACUGCUUCAGGACCAAACAACGUUCACUGACGACCAUGACGGGGCUCCAACCUAUGCAGACCUGACAACCAUUGAUGUCUUGUCUAUUGCAGAGGACUGCCACCCACAAAAUCCUUGCCCUACAACCAUCAACCCCAUUCCUAAUGAUGUGCACAUGCAGGCCCAACAACAUAUUGAGCUCCAAACCUUCAUCCCAUCGGCUGUGUCUGCUAUGACAGUAAGAUCUCUGUUUAACACAGUUCUUAAUGUAUUUCUGUAGAUCUUUGUAUUGAUACUAUGAUGGGAACUCUAAUAUUCACAUGUUUUUGUGUCUCCA
rnacentral:lncRNA from 1 species